AGGUAUCACGUACCGUAUCUCAGGCGUCAUGGAAGCCACUGCGCAGGAGCAAAACUUGCAGGCAUUGAUUAAUGCGGCUGUGGCCGCCUCUGUGAAGAAAGCCCUGGCGAGGGCUCUUCCUCAACCUCAGACUGACAGGGGUGCGAGAGGAACCCCCCUUUUGGCAGACGACUCGGCUGAGUCAGACUCUCAGGAAAGAGAGCAGGCAAGUGCGCAAAUGCGCUAUUGGAAGGGUGAAGGCCCUGAACCACGCUCCCGGAAGUGCAAGACUCCGGCGAAGCGACAUGGUUCGAGGUUAUCAACCUUGCUGGGCAGGCGCCGUCGUAUAUCGGGCGCAGGGGAGGAGGCCUCCUUACCCCCCCUACUAUGGCCGUGUUGGAUGAGUGGCGGGCAGACCAGUCCCCUUCAGAUGAAGAUGGAGAUUGGGUUGAGGACCGUGGGGACCGUGGCCCCAGUUGGCGCUGGGAGGACGAAGACGCGCCAGGGACAGAGGCCCC